UGAAAGUUAUUUUCCCUCCAAAAAUCAACUGUCAGAAUGCUAAACCAAAAAUGAAACAAGAAUGAACUUUUGACUCUCCCAGCUUUCUCCAUGCACAGGGAUUUGCAACCACAGAAUCCUAUUUAUAAUAAUGAGGUUUUGGGAAUAUAAUAUAAUACAAUUCAUUUAUCAGAGUUUAUUUGCAAGAAGAGGUUUGGGGAAUAUUAAUAACAAUACAGGGGCUUAUUUACAGAAACCCAAGAGGUCUAGGCCUCGUUCCUUCACACAGGGCCUGCAUUUCCUCAGCCCCUUUCAGUACAGGACACUGAAACAAACGAAAAUGCAACAUUCUCUGCAUAACCAGAAUUACUGAAUGUCAAACAAGGGAAAUAUCAAACAGGUGGAAUAAAAGGAUAUCAGUAAUGACAAAACUCCCAUAAAAACGUAUUUUAGAACUUUUUUAAAAAUGAAAAAAUCAUUUUUAUGGCCAGGGCUAAAGCAGUUUGCUUAUUUCACUUUCAGAGCGUGUUAUAGGCAGGCCACUAUCAGAGAAAUGAUGCGAAGAUAAUCACUUGUGGAGCAAUUUCAAUUGAAAAGCUGCAUCUGGCGGUCCCAGACUGAGCAGUGAGAUCUGGCAGAAGACUGCUGAGUCUGUGCCAUCCUUCUCAUGAGGUGUUCAUAGCUAUAACUUUGGCUUAACUGAGAAAGUUGCUUAGAAGCAGUGAUUAGCAUGAGAUAGAGCAAGCUGGUAUGUUUUGUGUGAAGAAGAUGAGCUGAGAAUUUUACAGCAGGGGUUCCCAUUUGAACAGUUGGCAUGAAAGAUGAAUCUUGCUUUUCUAGAAGAAUGAAUGAGUGUGUGUGUUCCCCUGCUGGCUUCGGAUGUGCUUUCAUUCUAUGCAAGACCACAUCCACCACUUACUGAGUGAGGCCUUUACAUCAGUGAAUACUGUCUAAGAUUCAAACGCCUGACUGCUCUUUCAGAGUAAAAGUCACCAUUUUCCCAAUUUGCAUCAGGAAAUAAUGAAGAUUCAACGUCGACAUAUCCUAACCCCAACACAGAUCUCCAGCUUUCAUUAA